AGGGGUGUAGCUCAAUUGGUAGAGCAACGGUCUCCAAAACCGUAGGUUGCGGGUUCAAGUCCUGUCACCCCUG
rnacentral:tRNA from 4 species